CAAAUUAGUUUGUGUGUGAGAAGCACUUUCGCGAAGAAGAUAUUAAGAAAGCUGAUCGAUUGAUUAUUAAUGGAGCUGAAAUUAUCAUCCCUCGCGAAAGGUGGACUCUUUUGAAUGACAAUGUCAUUCCAAUAAACCCUCAGGAUUUGGAAAAGGACAUUUCUGAAGAGCAAGUUCCAAUAGUGCAAAAUGACAUUAAUAACUGACCAAUCGAAAACCUGGAUUAUACACAACCCUCGUUAAAAAUUGUUUGAGGUAACAAUUUAAAAGAAGAUUCUCAACCAGCAGGACCCCAUCAUAUGGAAUCACCAGAGAUUGUAACAGCUAAUAAUGUCAUUAUCUCGAACAUGUCUCCACCAUCAUGUGUUACACUAGAAGAGAUCCAUGCUCAUUUUCACUCAAUACUGAUCCAAGGAUGGUGUUAUUUUGCUUGUGAUGAAGA